rnacentral:rRNA from 1 species
UGGCGGCGUGCCUAAUACAUGCGUCGAGCGAAUGGAUUAAGAGCUUGCUCUUAUGAAGUUAGCGGCGGACGGGUGAGUAACACGUGGGUAACCUGCCCAUAAGACUGGGAUAACUCCGGGAAACCGGGGCUAAUACCGGAUAACAUUUUGAACCGCAUGGUUCGAAAUUGAAAGGCGGCUUCGGCUGUCACUUAUGGAUGGACCCGCGUCGCAUUAGCUAGUUGGUGAGGUAACGGCUCACCAAGGCAACGAUGCGUAGCCGACCUGAGAGGGUGAUCGGCCACACUGGGACUGAGACACGGCCCAGACUCCUACGGGAGGCAGCAGUAGGGAAUCUUCCGCAAUGGACGAAAGUCUGACGGAGCAACGCCGCGUGAGUGAUGAAGGCUUUCGGGUCGUAAAACUCUGUUGUUAGGGAAGAACAAGUGCUAGUUGAAUAAGCUGGCACCUUGACGGUACCUAAC